GCCGGCGGCCUCCAGGCGGCUGCGCGGUGUCCUCCGGUGCCUCCGGGCUCCUCCGAGGGCCCUUCGCGAUGUGCCUGAGGGGUUUGGCCCUCGUGCCCAAAGCGGUACCCUUAACGGCUGCUUCCGGCGCGGCCUUCAGCAUCGGUGUGGGGAGACUGCGCAGCUCAGGGGGAUCGCUGGCAUGGGUCAGCAUGUUGCCCAGUUUGGACCCAGCAGCAGCAGUUAGUGGGAACAACUGGCGUGCCCCCGUUGGAAAUAGUGAGGCCAGAGGCACUGUGUUGCACGGGGAUCCCUAAAGUGAGGAUAUUUUUGGACAAUCACUUCAGGACCUGACGGUUCUUCCAUUCCGGGCACGGGGACAGCCUGGCAGUUGGCGUUCCCUGAUAACAGUGCCCCAUCUCUAUAAACAAAGUGAAGGUUUCUAGGGAGAGGCAAAAGUAAGCUGAACACAGUGCUCCAGAUGUGGCUUUAUACGUGCUGAACAGAGUGCAGUAAUCAUGUCCCUCGACCUGCUGGCUAUGGUCUUGCUAAUGCAGUCCAAGAUGUGGACAGAUUUAUCUCCUUCAGUCUGUGGAAGUCUUCUAGAAUAGGAGCUCUUCUCUACAAUAUUCUCACAGCCUCCCCUUGAUUUGAUUUUACCCUGUACUUCCUAAAGAUCUUAUCAUUCAGGUCAUACUAUCCCCAGUCUUCCUCCCAGGGAUUGCCACUGGGAAUCACCUGCUAAUUGGACUUCAAACAGUUGUUAACUACUCUUUGAGUCAGUGAACUGCUCAGUUUUUAACUAACCUUGUAGUCCACCUAUCGAGCCUAUAUCUCCCAGUCUGGUUGCAAGAACACUUUCAAAAGUCUUUCUGAAGACAAGAAAGACAACACUAACUUCUCCAUCUCUCUCAGACAGCAUGUAAUUUAAUUGUAGAAGGCAAUCAGUGUGAUAAAACACAGUUUGCUCUUGGUAAGUUCAAGAUGACCAUUCUCAGUCACAUUGUCAUUGUAUGAAUGAGAAUGGUUUCUCUGAGUACUUGCUCCAUAAUUUUCCCACAGAUUGCGGUAAGGUUGUUCAGACUGUAGUCACCUAGAUCAUCCUUGCCAUUUUCUAUGACAGACACUACAUUUUUAUAAUUAUCAGGAACCUCUGCUGACCGCUGUGGCCUGAAAAAUGGAUAUAGAGCAGCCUUGCAUGACAUUUGCUGGCAGUCUAUUUAUUUAGCCACUAGCUUGAACUUUGCUACUUGUUAUGGAGGUCUGGAAGGCCUGGGAGCAGAUCUUGCCAGUAGAAAUAGCCUUUCAAUAUUCAGUGCUGUGGUGAAGUGUGAUAAGGAUGGACAACUCUAUUGGAAUCCUUUCAGAAAUAAACACCUGCGUGCAAGUAUUUGAUGAAGACUCUAUGGGGAUGAAUAUUGACCUUUUAUCAGCAGAGCACUAAUUUAAGAGUACACAAAUAUAACCCAUUUGUUACAGCAUUAUUUAGAACUGGGGAACAGUCAAAAGAAUGUUGAAAAACUGGUAGGACUUUCAAGCAGAACACAAGAUCUAGAAACCAGGUGUUAAAAUGUGAGGCUUUAUUUAUUUUGGUUUUUGUUUAUUCGGGAAAAUGUUAAGAAAUAACCUUGUACCAUCACAGUCUAGAAACUUAAUUAAUUAAUUAAUUUCUCUCUCA